UACAGAGGUGGCAAGCGUUGUUCGGAAUUACUGGGCGUAAAGGGCGCGUAGGCGGUCUUGUAAGUCUUGUGUGAAAUCCCUCGGCUCAACUGAGGAACUGCACGGGAUACUGCGAGACUUGAGUUCGGGAGAGGGAAGCGGAAUUCCGGGUGUAGCGGUGAAAUGCGUAGAUAUCCGGAAGAACACCGGGGGCGAAGGCGGCUCGCUGGGCAUGGUCCGACGCUGAGGCGCGAAAGCGUGGGGAGCAAACAGG
rnacentral:rRNA from 1 species